GGGAAUACACUGGGAAAGGGAGGCAGAGCUUCACCGGGAUACUGGAUUAAGACGGGGCAGAGAGGCUGAUAUGCAAAGAGGGGCGGAGAUAUGGGACCGGGAGUCGGGGCUAAGAAGGGGCAGAGAAAUUCCUCUGCAGUGGGACAGAGACCGAGAAGUAGAACUACAGUGGGAGAGAGAACGAGAGGCAGAAUACUGGCACAGAAGGGCUACCGUAUCCCCCUACGGGCCUCACGGUCAUGAAUUACCAGCAUUUAACGUCGAUCCACUUCCUGCAGGCCAUCCUGCAUACCCCGAACCCUCCCGGUCCCACUCUCAUGCCCAUCUGGAUCUCAAGUACAGCAGCAGUUCCAGUGGAUAUCAGACACCACACCAGAUGUGCCCCUGCUCCCCCUACCAGCCUUCACCCUCAGAGAGUCGUGGCUAUGCCUCAGAUUACCAGUCUGAGUCCACGUCCCCUCUUCCACCUCCCUCCACCUCGUGCCCUGGCCCAGUGCACCAUGCCAGCGGACCUAUAGAUAACCAAACAGACUCCCACCCUCAGCAGUACACCUCUGAAACAAAUACAGACAGCAUAGGCUGGCGUAGUCACAUUACCCAUGGUUCCCUACGGCGGACACAUCAAGAUCCACAUGCCCCUUGUUCAACACCCUCUGAUAUUUCAGGACCUCCAACACCAGUCCACACAAGCAGCCCUUUGCAAUUCCAGGAGAGUCCUAGCCUGAGUGUCCGUGAGUAUGACUCAAGAGAGGUGAACAGUGAAAGCAGCUCGGCCCACUCCCACAACAGGACACAUCCACUUGCCCUACAGUCAAACAGUACCAGUCCGGGGUCUCGGCAAACUGUACUUUCUUCCAGUCAAGAGAUUCCUGAGAUAAACUCCUUUCCUGCCACACCCACCACUGCCCAACAACUCUCUGCCCUGCUUACUACACCUCCCACCCCACAAAGCUCACCAGAGCACUCCGCCCCUUUAACACCUCCAUCAGAAUCUAUCCAACCACAGACAAACAGCUCGCCUACUGCUGCUACAGUGCCACCCAGAGGGGAAAUGGUACCACAUUCAACUGUUAAACCAGCACCUUCACCAGAUCCCUCUUCUCAUAUCCUGUCCAAGUCCAUCCUAGCUCAUUCACAGAGCAACGGAGUAUCACCAUCUCCUGAACCAGACACCACUUCUGCUUCUUCAGUCCCUGCGUCCCCUCAACCACCCACUGGCGAACACGAGAGCUCAUCCUCCCCUGAACCCCCAGUCCCCGGAUUCGCCACGCUGGGCAGGAAGCUGAUGUUGGGCUCUGAAACCUCACUUCCCCCAGGACACAGUACGGACGGCAGCCCCAGCUCCACUCCCACCUUCCCUGUCUCUCCCGCCUGCUGCACCCCAUCUCCUCCACCAGGUCUCCACUUAGGGUGCCCAGCCAACUCCGUCCCACAGCCUCCCCUCCCUGAGAAACGCCGCCCAUCCGGCCUGCCAGGAUCACCCAACGGGAGGUCUGGAAUGCUGAGGGGGUCCAUGAGUCAUCAGCCCUCUGGGCAACACCAUGUUACAUUCUCACCUUCAGUAGGAGAGCUGACCAUGCCCGCUGGACAGGGAGAAGUUGGUGUAGAGGCUAUUGCAGCACUGAAGGAAAGAGAGCCAGGGACCUUCCUCAUCCGAGACAGUAACUCUU
ensembl:lncRNA